CAUGUCCUUUUGAAUAUUAUUUAAGGUCUAAUCUGCUCAAUGAGGAUUUAAAUUGCCGCGGUAUCUUGACCGUGCGAAGGUAGCAUAAUAAUUAGUUUUUUUAUUGAAAGCUGGAAUGAAUGAUUGGACGAGAAAACGACUGUCUCUGUUAGAUUUGUUUUUGAAUUUAACUUUUAAGUAAAAAGGCUUAAAUGUUUCUUAAAGACGAGAAGACCCUAUAGAGUUUAAUACUUUUUUUAAUUAAAGUUUUUUGGAAUUUUUUGCUUUUAUUUUUAAUAGUAUUUAGUUGGGGUGACUAGAAGAUUUAAUACACUCUUCUAAAAUAUUUAUAUUGAUUUGUAGAUUUAUAUUCUGAAUUUUUCAAGUUUAAAAUUAAUUACCUUAGGGAUAACAGCGUAAUUUCUCUUUAGAGCUCUUAUUGGAAGGGAAGUUUGCGACCUCGAUGUUGGAUUAAAAUUAAUGUUGGGUGCAGUAGCUCAAUUAUUAGGUCUGUUCGACCUUUAAAAUUUUACAUGAUCUGAGU
rnacentral:rRNA from 1 species